AGCCCGAGAGCCAAGUUCCCUGCACCGAAGGUGCGGUGACCAUUCGAGGGGAAGGGGCCGUCCAUCACAGCGGGCGAUGUCACCACGUGCCGCCACAAAAAUAUGACUGUUUCAGACACCGCAAGGUUUGCAAAGGCAAAGGCAGGAAGAGAAGCUUGGUUUAGCCUGCGUUUAUUUUUGUGAUUGGAGAGUGAAGGCAGUCGAGAUAUCACAGGGCGUUCAGAAAGUUUCGGAAAGGGAAGUAUUUGUGCUUUAUCACUUGACCCAGCAACUCCAGCCGAGUGCUAAUCUUUGAGGGAUUCUGCCUGCCUCAUAGGCGCACUAAUAAUAAAAAUGAGGCAGAUGGGGAGCGUUUCAACACAUGACACAUCAAAUCCGUCUCCUGAGAUGUGCCCAUGCCCGUCACAGCCCUGCCUGGGUGGCUUCGAAUGCCGAGCACGGGUCGGGGGCAGGGGAGAGUCACCAUUUCGACCAAGCGCCCAGGGGAUGCCACCACGGUACCCCCUUUAAGAACAAGGAGCCGGAACCACGGACCGGCGCCGAGGGGCUCUUCCCCUGGAGGUCAACGGAGAGGACAAGGGGUACAGUGGGAAGUCCUUGGAUCUGAGUCUGGCUGACCUGGACCUGGGUCCGGCACCCCACCCCCACCCCACUGGUUGUGAGUUAGACAAGACACUUUGAUCACAGGGACACAGUGCCACCUAGACUGGUUUAAGCAAGAAGGGUGACAUUAUGGGAAGCAUAUCGGGGGUCUACUUUGAAGUCUGAAAUCAGUUCUCAGACAGAAAUGUUGACUUGCCAAAGCCAGCGAAUUCCUCUUCUACGUGCAGAUGGCCCCAUGUGCCAGCAGCAUGCGGAAGCGGGGGGCUGGAGGGACCGGAGAGCCCAGGCUCAUGACCUUAACCUGGAUGGCGAAGCCGGCCGCCCAGAAGUACCUGGAUGCUCUUAGAAGUCAGGAAGGAAACAUCGCAGCUAGCCCCACCUGUCUUUCUUCCACACACCGUAGCUACUUAGAGCCUCGAUGUCCUCGAGCUUUGACUGGGACAUCUCCGAUCACCUCACAGCCCGCCCCCCACCCCAUCUCCAAAUAUCAGGAAGAAGCACCCUUUCCCUUUGCCGGAGUUUCCCAGGUCACUCUACAAACUGACCCCGUCCUUUCCAGAGUUCUGCAGACCACCUGGAGGGGCUGGCUUUGCCAAGUCCCGGCUCGCUUGUGUUAAGUGAGGUCACCAAGGACCUGCCCCGUGGUGACCUUUUGUUUUUGUCUCUCCAGAUAGCAGCUGGUAGAUUUUUCCAUUAAAGAAAAAAAUUUUUUUUCAUUCUAAUAGACCGUUGUGUUACAUAAGUCUAAGCCCUAAUAGAACAUUCUGUUACAAAAAGAUAUAGGGAUAUUUCAGGAAACCGAAGGACCCCAAGAGUGAUUAGAACUACCAACAGGGAAGCUGUCGGAACCGUCUCUCUGGGUCUCUGGGGGUCAUCGUCUGACACUUUUAUCGCUUGCUCUGUGGACAACAAGCUUCCUUCCAUUGCUUCUGUUUGCAUAUGGCAGUAUCAUCACCGGUCCUUCCCAUUUCAGGACCUAACAGAGGCCGAGAAGUAUUUCUUUUCUUUUUUUUUUUUAAGUUGAUUUAUUUAUUUUGAGAGAGAGAGAGAGCAGGCGUGCGUGUGCUCGAGAGCCAGUAGGGGAGGGACAGAGACAGAGACAGAGAGGGAGAGAGAGAGGGAAAGAGAGAAUCCCAAGCAGGCUCCUCAUUGCCAGUGCAGAGCCCGAAGCAGGGCUCGAUCUCACAAGCAGGAGCUCAUGACCUGAGUCGAAAUCAGAAGUGAGACACUCAACCGACCGAGUCGCCCAGGCACCCCUGAGAAGCAUCUCGGAAUCCAGAAGCUAAACUUUGAGAGAGAAUAUCCGACUGGCCUUGCUUGGGGUGUGUGCCCAUCUCUGGUUGAAUUAAAUGAAGUUUGUGAGACACGAGGUCACACUGGCAGGAGCACGGCUGUGAGUGGGGACAGUUCUCAAGUUACGGGGAGUAUGAUGGGAGGCAGGCACUCCAAAGCUUAUCUAGAACAGUCUGAUAGCGUAUACAGAACGGAUGUGCUGCUCUGUUUUAAAAUGGGGAUGGUAACACCUACCUCUCUGAGAAAGCGAGCUCCGUGAACAAGCACAAUGUCAACUCCAAGCGGCUGUCUGGAGCCUGGUGACCGUUCUCAUCAGGGAGAUACUGACCCUGCGACGUGGACCGUGGGCUCCUCGAUGCCCUAAGUUGAGGGGAGGAGAAGAAGGGGCACCCUGCAGCUUUGCGGGGCUGUGGGGGAGGCAUCCAGUGCAGGGCCACUCCAUGCUCCCCUGGCUGGAGGCGGCACCCAGCCCGAGUCAAGUUCAAGGUUGUGGCAACUCCAUACCCACCCCCUUGGAGAGGCACCAGGCAAUUCAUAGGUUGUCCCUAGAGCACUAACUGUCUUAGCUACUCAGCGAUGAGAUGGGCUCCACAGAAGCCCGGACCAGUAUAAAUAGGCCUCUUGAUUUCUCUGCCUUCACGCGAAGGAGAAAGAACAGCAGAACUGGGGAAGAAGGACAUUCCAGAAAUGCCACAGAGAGACCUCAAAAAGAGCACUGCGCUGUGUCUGCUAAAGGAAGCACUUCAUGAGAGAGAAAUGAGCCGCAGGAAGAGACUGAGGGUUCUCAGGCCAGCCUAGAUGAGGGUAGGGAUUCCUUGUGGGCCCUGGGAACAAGGGCAGGGGACCACAGCCCGAUCUCGGGCCGGCUCGCCUCCCCCUGCGUCACGUUCUCUCUCAUCUACGAUGGUGGGAUUUUGCCAUAGCAUUGGGACUGGACCCCUAAAAUAUCUGACUGCCUGAAGAUCCUUGGAGGGGAGGGGUAGCCAGUAUUUGGUUUUUGUUUGUUGGUUUUUGAGAGAGAGAGACAGAGCAUGAGCGGGGGAGGGGCAGAGAGAGAGGGAGACACAGAAUCCGAAGCAGGCUCCAGCUCUGAGCUGUCAGCCCAGAGCCCGACAUGGGGCUCGAGCCCACAAACGAUGCGAUCAUGACCUGAGCUGAGGUCAGGUGCUCAGUCGACUGAGCCACCCAGGUGCCCCUGGCGGUGUUAGUUUUGAACAAAACCCAUUCUCAAACAAAGAGAGUGGCUAUUCGCUUGUAUCAAGAAUAAAGUUCUGCUUCUAACUGUAAA